UGACAUUACACUACUAUAGCUGAGACACAUAGUAAAACAGGUUGGGCCCCAUACAGGAUAUCUCUCACACACACACACUCACUGUAAUCAUCCAGAACACUGUCACAACAGGAUACUCCUAGCCACAGGUGCUAGCCGGCAGUUCGGCCACAACUCCCCUGAAGAUAGGGACGCAUAAGCUCUUACACACUGACCCCAGAAGACCGGGACGACGCACAUACAGUACACACAUAGCUGCCGAGGACACCCAGAUAAGACACCCACAGAUUGGCAGAAAGCCUAGACUUAGAGACAAACUAACACACACACAUAAUCUCCCUCCCAGCCGAACAUUGUGUGACUGAAGAUAGCGCACACACCAGAUCUCCUUUUCAGCUGAAAAGGGUGUGACGACCAAGAACAGGCAUGGCAGGAUUCUACGAUGACGGACAGACAACAGAGCCAAUGCCGGAUGACUACACCCCAGCCUGAUCCAAUCCGAAGAUCCGAUCUCCUAGAUAUCAACCUACUUUCUGUUCUGUAUAUGAAGCUUGUACCCAUUGUUAGCUAGGGUCUUUUUUUGCUAGUCUCUGAUGAGCUAACAGAGGGGCCCGUAUAUACGCUGUACCAGAUAUCUCCACUUUGAAAUAAACCUGUCGCUUGUCGUACAAUCUACCACCUUGUCUGCAUCGAUCCUUGACCGACUCACCCUUUAUCAUAUCCCAUUAUCAACAGAAAUGGUAGCAGGAGGAUGGUUUAAUAACGAUCCAUCAAAGUGAGUUGAUUUGGGUGUGAGAGGGCGAGGGGGUGAAAGGACGAUUCACAGAGGACAGAGGUGAAGGAAUUCGGGGGAGGACAACAAUUCUGCUCAACUCUGUAAACUGAUCACAAGGCGCACCACAAACAAGGUGAACUACAGGUGAAGUCACUCAAUCCAGUCCCAGAGGCUUGGGGACCAUAGAUGACCCCUGGUGACAGCUAGCUGAAAGAGCUACCCAGAUUCAUAUCGCACGGCGGAAGGGUAAGACACAUUUUUUCACUGUCGGAUAAUUAAAACAGUGUUCGAGAGAAGAACUGGAAUUAACAGAAUUCCGGGGGCCAACUCUCGAAUGAAGUAACCCUACCUGUCCUAUCACCCCUGUUUUUGUUCAUAGAAUUGAGGAUGUGUCUGGCUCUGGCUAAGUGAUGUGUAUUUUGUUCCAAAAUGAGCAUAAGAGAUCCCUAGAUCGGGGUAGACAAGAAGUUAGAGUAGAGAUUACAUGAUAACCGACUUCGGACAGUUCUAGGAUUGGAGAAGAGGGUAUCCUUAUAGCAAGGGGGAUCCCACAAGGGUGGAUAGGUUUUCCAUGAUAUGGGGAAACCUGGGAGCAAUGUUGAACUUUGUAAAGGUGAUGAAAUCCUACUAACCAUCAAAACUAUUAAGCUCUCUGAUGCAGGCACUCACACCCUCGGACUACAAAGGACGAGGACAGACAUGAUGGGUGUGUUUUCUAUUAAGGUACUGCCAAGACCAGAGGUAACCGGACACACUCCUCUACCACCACUGUGUUAAAAAUACCAUUCAGGUAAUUAAUGUUAGAGACUAUUCGGCUAUUGAUCAAUUAGGAACUGAGACUGGUUUUGAUAGUAGGGACAAUUUGUGGCUGUCUUAUAUGAGGUACACAGCUAAAACCCUGAGAGGAAAGGACUGCAUUAUUUGUAGUCAUGCUAGACCUGUUCUAGCUACACACCCAUUUGCUGUGGGAGAAGGAGAGGGGUGGUUGUGUAUUCUGAGAAGUUUUUACCAGGUUAAGCCCAAUUCAACCCUCUGUUCCUCUUUGAGCCGUGUGUUUCCUGCAGUACCUCCUCAUCGGGCCUCUUGGGGUGUUGAGGCAUAUGGGGGCAAUUAAGAGUGCAUCACGGGUACAGGUAAUGGCAUUGAUUAUGGGGGAUUGCCUGAAGCUGAUUGCAGUAGUAACAUAACCAUUAAUUCCACUUGGCCAGUUACAGGCUGAUGUGAGGUGGAUGAGUGGAGCCAAGAGUGCUGAGACCCAUUCUUAGAGGAGAAUGGCAAGGUACGUGUGCUCUGACCAGUUUGAUAAUUCCACUGACCAUUGUUGAUGUUACUGCUGAACAGCUGUUGGGUUCUGUAUCCAAGGGACCUGAAAACAUUCCAUCCCAUGGGAGACAUAGACGUAGCGCUCAGAGAAUGUAGUUGACAUAAACACUAACCUGUUGGGUGUGCCAGUGGGGGUUCCUCAUGAGUUUCAGGCCUUGGGUAGGAAUGAUGGACUCUGGCACUUACUACCUACUAUGGGUCCAGCCAUGGUGGAUGCUAGACAGACUGCAUGGAUUAAUUAUAUCUACUAUAAUCAACAGCGGUUUGUGAAUUACUCCCGUGAUGCACUCACUGGUAUGUCUGAACAGCUUGAGGCCACAUUUGGGGUUUCCAGACAGAAUAGACUUGCCUUGGAUAUGCUUCUUGCCAGUCAGGGGGACGUUUGCAAGAUGUUCGGUAAACAAUAUAUUCCUAAUAAUACCAGUCCAGAUGAUAUCUAGGGCGGGCUUGAUGCACUAUCUGAUAAGAUGAGGUCCACGGGGGGGUGGAGGAGUCUGUUCUCUUGGCCUGGUUUGGUAAGUACACUGAUAUGAUGGUUACUGGAUUUCUGACCCUAAUUCUUGUAUUAUUUGUUAUUGAUGUGAUGUGCUGCUUGCAUCAUACCGUGUUCUAAGAAAUAUGUUACAGAUAUGGUGAAGGCUUCAGGCAUGUCCCUGGGUGGCAAGGAGCCCACCUGAUACAGGAUAGAAGUAGCUGAGAGGACCAGAUGGUUUCUAAUAAUUCUUUCCUCUGUUUUCCAUGACCAAAGUUUUAUCCUACAUCUUACAUGUCAAUAACAAUAAAGUUUUAUCCUGUUUUUGAUAAGUGACACCCUUGUGGGUGUCAAAAGGGGGAAACGCAUAUAACAAUAGACAUAUAUCACUUGUUAUUAAUAAUAAACUUUUUAUUAUUUUCAUGAAAUGCUAUGACUGCUGAAAUAAAGGAUAAUGAGUGUCAAAAGGGGGACUUAAAUUUCACACCUUUGGGGUUAUUUUACAUUAUAGCCAUUACCAUAUAUAUUAUCUGCUGUUGCCUUGUGUGGAUGUAUGUAUGUGUUAUGCUACCUAGCUGAUUUGAAACAUUGUUAAAAGUAUCAGGCCCAUGGGACUUUCUCAUGAUGGAAAAAUACAGAGUAGCAUGAAGACGAACUGUUCAAAUGAGUUGGGAGGGGGGCACAUUCAGAGCGUGGGGUUGCGAGAACAAGCGGUCUUUUGUUAGAUAACAGGAGCCAGGUGCGAGAUAACGGUAUGGAGCAUGAGACCCAUCUUUUAGUUUUUGCAGCCAUUUUAGUGUUGUGCGGCUGCGGUUGCAUUCCAUGUAUCCGGUCCCUUACUGCUAGAGUUAUCUCCAGAGCUAUUGACCCUUCUUCCCCUUCCCAGAUGUAUCCUCUGCUUGCUAAUGACCUGCCAGAGUUUGAGGAUGAGGUGGAGAAUACCCUUUAGAGAGUGUCACAUCUCUUUGGAGAUGUGAAGAGAGGGUAUCACAACUUUUUCCUGCUGGAAAAGGUUGGCUUAUGUGGACAAACAUUUUACUUAUAGCUUAGAGCUGUUGUUCUCCGCAAUUGUUAAAUGAGGGUUGUAAGUUCCUAGGUGGCUGGUAGCCAAUUUAGUACAUAGUGGGAUUGAGUGGAGAACUUGGUGGUAAUACAUAUACAUCCAUUUCUUUUUAAUGUUGUGCCUUUUUAUAGCCCCUUUGGGAAAAGUUUUCUUUUGUAUCAGAAUCUAGUUAGGUUGUGUCACGUCUCAGUGAUACACCCGUCCGGUUACCUCCUGCGGGUGUUAUUCUCGUAUCAGGCGAGAAGCGUAAUGGUGUGGUCUAACACGGGUCCUCGGGCGGAACAGCUGCCGUGGCACUUUGGCCAUGCGGCCAACUGGCUGCGUGCGCACCCCGAGGUUGAAGUUGCCCGAGUAGGUUGAGAUCACAGGCACCUGUAUGAGGAGGUCAGACAGGCAGGGAGUCCGGCGCCUGUAGCGGGCAUCUCGGCGGUGGUCUGGUGAGGGAGUGCAGGCGCGGGGCCUGGACAACAGGCUCAAGGACCUGAAUUGGUUGAGCCUCCACAAGUGCUUGCCGGUAUGUUCCAUCAUGCACCGGCAUAGUUUGGCGCGAUCCCCCACCUGUCCAAGAUCCGCUUGUGGCAGGGAGGAGACUGUGCGCCAUGCCUUUUGGGACUGUGCCUUUGCCGGAGUAGUAUGGGCUAGGGCACGGGUGUUGUUAGGAUUGGUAAGGGCUGAUUUUGUUUUGGCAUGGGCGAGGUUAGAAAGAGGUGUAGGGAGAACGGAUAGGGACAGGUUUCUGCUCUGGCUUCACAUGAGUCUCUUUAAACGGAGACUGUGGGAAGCCAGGCAGAAUUUGGUCAAGACAGGGAGAGAUUGGGGGGUGGAAGGAGAUUUAAGAGGGAGGGUGAAGAGGGAGGAGAGGAAGUGGGGGCAGCAUGCGGCACGGGAGAGGUGGAAGGGUAGUUUGGAAAGGUAGUUUGUAGGAUGACGGGGAGGGAAGAUGCUCCCCUGAGGUUUUUGUUUUGGGUUUGUGUAUGUUAAAAAAUAUACCAUUGUUUGAGUUUGAAUGACAAUUCUGUUUUUGUAAAGAAUGAAUGGUAUGGAACGUAAUAAAUUAUUUAUUUUUUAAAAUAAAAAAUCUGUUCUUAUCAGUUUAA